ACCAGGUCUAAACCAAGACUAAACCAAGACUAAACCAGGACUAAACCAGGACUAAACCAGGACUAAACCAGGACCAAACCAGGUCUAACCCAGGUCUAACCCAGGACUAAAUCAGGUCUAAAUCAGGACUAAAUCAGGACUAAACCAGGACUAAACCAGGACUAAACCAGGUCUAAACCAGGUCUAAACCAGGACUAAACCAGGUCUAAACCAGGACUAAACCAGGACUAAACCAGGACUAAACCAGGACUAAACCAGGACUAAACCAGACUCUUGUUGUGGCUGUUUUCUGCAGCUCGAUGGACCAAACUGGAGCAGAGAUUUUUAUUUUUAAAUCUACGGUUUAAUAAUGUCUGAAAAAUAGCAGCACAUAUUAUGAUUAUUAUGAUUAUGUUUAUUUUUCUUAUGACGAGUGCAAUAACUCUUUAAAGGAACUGUAUGUAACAUUUAUAUUUGACCUCUGUGUGACCCCAGAGUUAAACUUGUAACACUGAUGUGUUCAUGACACUGGACUUGACUCAUUUAUAUUUUGGUGUUUUGGUUCCAGACGAUUAUCAGAGCGCAGGGGUGUGGACACACACAUGUAGUACCUUCAUUAAACUGUAGGAGGCAGUAUACACACACAGAUCCUUUAAACUGGUGGACACUCCAGCUUUGUGACUGAAAUUGUAGUUUUAUAAAUAUAUUUUAUUGUAUUUUAAACAUUUUGAAUGAAAAUGGGAUAAAUUUGAGAGGCUUGUAUUUUUGCACAAUUAACGGUACUGCUCUGAUCUCAUGUUUGUCGUAAACUUUAUAUCACACCGUCAUUAUUAAAGUCUGGAUCCAAUAAAGCAGAUUUUCAGUUAUAAACUUGUAUUUUCUGCAUAAACUGGUAAUAAAAACGCUUGUGUCAC
ensembl:lncRNA